rnacentral:rRNA from 1 species
UACGGGGGGGGCAAGCGUUGUUCGGAAUUACUGGGCGUAAAGGGCUCGUAGGCGGCCAACUAAGUCAGACGUGAAAUCCCUCAGCUUAACUGGGGAACUGCGUCUGAGACUGGUGAGCUUGAGUGCAGGAGAGGAACGCGGAAUUCCAGGUGUAGCGGUGAAAUGCGUAGAUAUCAGGAGGAACACCCGUGGCGAAAGCGAGUUACUGGUCCAUUACUGACACUGAGGAACGAAAGCCAGGGUAGCAAAAGGG